rnacentral:tRNA from 1 species
GCUAUUUUAGUUUAUAAAAAAAAAUGUGUGAUUUGUAAUCAUGAGAAUUGAUUUAGCU